GAUGAAGAACGUAGCGAAAUGCGAUAAGUAGUGUGAAUUGCAGAAUUCAGUGAAUCAUCGAAUCUUUGAACGCACAUUGCGCCCGCCAGUAUUCUGGCGGGCAUGCCUGUUCGAGCGUCAUUUCAACCCUCAGGCCCCCAGUGCCUGGUGUUGGGGAUCGGCAGCAGGGCGUCAAGCCCGCCGGCCCCGAAAUCUAGUGGCGGUCUCGCUGUAGUCCUCCUCUGCGUAGUAGCACAACCUCGCAGUUGGAACGCGGCGGUGGCCAUGCCGUUAAACACCCCACUUCUGAAAGUUGACCUCGGAUCAGGUAGGAAUACCCGCUGAACUUAAGCAUAUCAAUAAGCGGAGGA
rnacentral:misc_RNA from 1 species